CUUCAGGAGAGGUUAACUGCUGGGGAUGAUCCUAUCACUGCUUUUAUUCUCUCAUCUGAAGCAGCGGUGGCUGGAGCUGAAUCAACCAGGNCACAUGCAGGCACAGGCUGGUCGCUCUACCUAUGUCUCUACAGAGAUCCUUGCUUCCGUUCCAGAUCCUGGAGCUAUGGCUGCAGCUUCAUGGUACAGAGCAGCAGCUUUAGCCAUCAAGAACAAAGUCGAGCCUUCAUAAGCUGAUGCAUCUAAUUCUCUUCGCAAUUCACGGUUCGAUUUGGCUGCUGCAGGUAUAACGAAGCUAAUUUUUUUGUGAUGAUUGGAAUCUGUUUGUCUAGCUUGGGCUUCCCGCAUAUGCAAAUUUUGUGCAAAGUUGAGAAAGCAAGUUUCAUUUUUGAAAUUUCUAUGGAAAAUGUAAAUUUCAAAUAACAAUGAAAUCUUCAAAUUUCGUGUUUCAAAAUCUUGGUUGUAAUACUGGCUUCGGUUGGUCUCUGAUGGAUCUCAAUGGAUUUAAGAACUUGUUGGGCCAACCGAAGCCAGUAUUACAACCAAGAU
rnacentral:misc_RNA from 1 species